CCACUCGCCCGGGCGCCCGCCUCCUUAAAGGGGCCACGCGCUUGAGGGCUCCAAGCGUUUCUGCUGGAGGGGCGUCUUCUAGGUAGCAGGACCCGAGUCCUCUCUGGCUGCCAGAGCAAUGGGUUCGUCAGGUUGGCUCCUACUUAAUUGUUCCAGCUCGCGGAACACCGAAGCAGAUAGGGUGGAAAUGGUGUACGGUUGAGCGAGAAGGGAAAGGUGAGAUGACAUGCUGGCUUCUGGACACAACUGUCUGCACUCAUGAGCCCACUGCAGCUAUGGUUACCAACAUACAACCU